rnacentral:rRNA from 1 species
GCCAUGCCGCGUGUAGGAAGANUGCCCUAUGGGUUGUAAACUACUUUUAUAUGGGAAGAAUAAGGUCUACGUGUAGACUGAUGACGGUACCAUAAGAAUAAGCACCGGCUAACUCCGUGCCAGCAGCCGCGGUAAUACGGAGGGUGCAAGCGUUAUCCGGAAUCAUUGGGUUUAAAGGGUCCGUAGGCGGGCAUAUAAGUCAGUGGUGAAAGUCUGUGGCUCAACCAUAGAAUUGCCAUUGAUACUGUAUGUCUUGAAUUAUUGUGAAGUGGUUAGAAUAUGUAGUGUAGCGGUGAAAUGCUUAGAGAUUACAUAGAAUACCGAUUGCGAAGGCAGAUCACUAACAAUAUAUUGACGCUGAUGGACGAAAGCGUAGGUAGCGAACAGGAUUAGAUACCCNGGUAG